GGGGAAAUAAACAAUAGGAGAGCACCUUGGACUGGGGGUUCCUCCUUGCCCAAGUUCAUCUCAGAAAGUCAUUGGGCAUCUUGACGCUGCGCUGGGGCCGCCUCCGAGCUCCGCCGCCGCCUCACCGGGCUCCGGCCGCUGCUGCCGCCGCUGCCGGGCCCGCACAGACGCUCCGGCAAUGGCGGCUCUCCUGCCCCACGGCCGCCCUGGGGGCGCCAGCGGGGCCGGGCUUGUCCCCGCUCUGCCCAAUCAGCGCGCGCCAGAGCCACGAGUGACGGCAGAAGCAGCCAAUCGCAGCCAGCGGCGGGCUCUGCACACGGCACGGCCUCGCCUGCCUUGGGCUGAGCUCCGCCAUUUCUCGGAAGCCUGGGCUGAGGAGCGGCCCCGGCGCUGGGCCCGGCCCGGGCAGGAGGCCAAGGAAGCGCCGCUGCGCUGAAGCGCCGGGAGCUCGGGGUGCCCGGGAGCUGAGGGCGCUGCGAGCUGGGGACACAAGCUGCCCAAUGACUUUCUGAGAUGAACUUGGGAAAGGAGAAACCCUCAGCCCAAGGUGCUCUCCUUUCUUUUUUUCCCCCAAACCAGGAAUUUUCAUUCCCAAAUGUGUUCAGAUGGAGGAGGAGGAGGAAAAGUCCCGGAGAUGCCGCACAAGGAGGGGCUGCAAACCCAGCCCAGGGAGCUGUGAGGAGGAAAGAUCCCCCCUGUGCCAGGAACAUGGCCAGAGAUCCAGCCAGAGCUCAGAGCUGAGGGAGAAGCCCCAGAAGUGCUUGGAAUGUGGGAAAGAUUUCAGCCACGGCUCCAGCCUGCUCUGGCACCAGGUGAUUCACACUGGGGAAAAGCCCUACGAGUGUGGGGAAUGUGGAAAGAACUUCAGCCAGAGCUCCAACCUGUUGAAUCACGAAAGGAUCCACACUGGGGAAUGGCCCUAUUAGUGUCAGGAAUGUGGGAAGAGCUUCACAGAUACCUCUGAACGGAUGAAACACCAGGUGAUCCACAUGGGGGAAUGACCCUAUACCUGCUUGGAAUGUGGGAAGAGCUUUGGGUGGAGCUUCUACCUGAGGGUACACCAGCUCAUCCACACCAGGGAGAGGCCCUACGAGUGUCCCCAGUGUGGGAAGAGCUUCUCACAGAGCUCAGCCUUGACCCAACACCAACGGAGGCACCAGUAAGGGAAGCCCUGCGAGUGCCCCGAGUGCGGGAAGAGCUUCGUGCGCUGCUCCAGCUCCAUCCCCCAUGGGAGGAUCGGCGUUGGAUGAUCCCCAGUGACCCCCGUUGGGCAGAGAGCCCUGGUGAUCCGUGGUCCUGGUGAUCCGUGUUGGGAAGACACCUGGCUGGGAGGCUCCACAUCUUCCUGGUUCCCUGUGGGCACCUGGAUGAACAUCAGAGCAGGAACAUCCAUUGGGACACAGACCAACAAUGGGAAUUCCUUUGGGAGAGGGGAUUUGUUGACUUUAAAUCCUAGAGAACCUUUUGCCAUUGCCUCUCGAGCUCUGUGGGCAGAGAAAUGGGGGUGACACCGGGCUUGGGGCCCCUGAAUGAAGCACACAUGCACCAGGGGAGUGGGGACACGACCCCCGGGACCCCCUUCUCACCUUCCUGCGCAGGCAGAAGCCAAGCCCCAGUGCCAGGAAGAUGAAGCCCAACACAGAGUCCCUGAUCCCCGUCAGCAUCUUGCUGUGGGCAGCGUCUAAUGGCAUUCUGAGGGGUCUCCAGGGGUCAGGACCCCCAAAACCUCUCACAGACUCCCCAAGCCCAUCUAAGGACCCUCCCAGUCUUCCCCAGACUACCCAGGACCCUCUGAAACCUCCUUUGGAGUCACAAAUUUUAUAAAAGGAAGAAUUUUAGAAAAACUAGAGAUGUUAGCUAGAGAUAGGCCUUGCUGGAAGUAGAGUUAAUGAUUAAGUGAGAAACAGGGUUUCAGAUAAUGAAUCUUGGACUUAGGUAAAACACGUCUUGUCAUUGUAUGUUUGUUUAGAUGUGCUUAUAAUGAGAAAAUAAACUGAUAAACGGGUACAGGAAGAUCGCAGACCUUACAUCUGGAAACCCAUUUAAAAGUCACAAGGGAAGAAAUUUGUGUUGUACCAAAUGUCAUUUGUAAUGUCAACCAUUGUAAAGGUAGAAAGGUGAGAGUGAGGAAGAGUGGUUUUCCUUCAUCACUUGAUGACCCCUCUCGCCAAAAUGACCCCCUCUUCAAAUUAGGAAGCGAACCCUGCAGAUGUAAUAAAUUUUAAACUCAUUACCAUGAAUUUUAAUCCAAAGUGGGGAAUGGGAGGUGUUAGCAUUGUGAAUAUGUAUUCAUAUUUUGGAUAUUCAAGACUUUUGUAAAUAAAUAGUGGUUUUAAAGCAGUAACUAAAAAAAUUACUAGAAAACUUACUUAUUUCUUGCUGUGAGAUAUGGAUUAGAACAAAAACAAAACAGGCUUAAAAUUUAAAAGGAAUAAGGAAAGUUUAUUAACAAAACUACAAGAAUAAGAACACCACAAUAAACCUCCAGAAAACCCCUUUAUCCCCCACUACCCAACCAUUUCCUUGUUCACAUGACAACAUAGAGACAAAAAAAGUUUGGAACUUUGGUGUUUACAACAGUCCCUAUUCCUGCUAGAGUCUUUUCAUCAGCCUUUGUAGAGAAACAGAAGUCUUCCUCUGCUAAUCUAUGGAGUUUCUCACAGGAAAAUUAUUUCUGUUAUAGCUUUCUAUUUUUCUGAUGCCAGUUGCCCGGAAAUCUGUCAUCAGAGUUCACUCCUCCCAUUUCCCAUCACUCUGAGGUGUGUAUAGGUCAGUGAGUCUAGGGAUAUCAUUUUUUAAGGAUGAGUUAUUCAAAGGCAAAAGUUCUCUUCAUCUGUCUCUGUGAGCUUCUCUGGAAACAGUUUUCUCAUUGCUUCUCAAGGCGUCAAAUCUUUAACUAUUACUUCUCUCCUUCUGUUCCAGCACCUCACUGUAUCACAAUUACUCCAUCUUUUGCUCAAAAUCCACACUUUGAACACUCUACUCCUCCCAAUAUACUCUGUCAUGAAUUAAAGGAGUUUUUUUCAGAACACUACUGUCCAUCUCCAUAGCUUUAACAGAAAAAUAUUUCAGCUUAAUUAAAGCAUCUCCUUAUUCUCUGCCUCUUCUGAAGCUUAAUUCUUUUCUUUACUGUCUCCGAUAGUUUAUAAAGUCUCUUUACAUGUUGAUUACUCUCUUUUUCUCUCUCUGGAUAAAAGGAUUAAUCUGCAAGUCUCAUCUGGGUAAUGAAAAGGUUAAAAUCUUGCCCAGGCUUUGUAGAUGGUUCUGUGAUCUCUGCCGGAGCAGCGGCUGGAGUUGUCUGCGAUGGAAGAUUCUUCAUGGCUGCUCUGGAGAGUGUGGUCACUGUCUCAGCCCGCCGCAGGUCAAGAGCUUUUUCUUUCGUUACUCGGCAGUCUCUGGUGAAUUCAGUCACGGCAAAAAAAACUGCAGCCGAGGCAGGGACCGGCCUGGCCCGGCCAGAGCCCGGGGCAAGCCCCGCAGGCCCCAUCUCCCGACCGGGAGCCGCAGCAGGCCCAGCCCAGCCCUUGCCCGGGCCGCAUGUGCUGGGCAGGGGACGGGAAGCCAGCUAAAGCUCAGUUACCUUUCACAGCCAGAAAACAGACAAAGAAAUUCCCAGGCUUAGGUCUUAAGGUGGUUUUCACAGGUUGAUCUCACUUUUCAAUGGUUAAAACUGCUGUCAAUUCUUAGAAAUGGCCAGCUGUUGGCUGGGAGAAAAACUCCCAUCAGCUGCCAGCAGUUUUAACUUCCUUAGGUGUUUCUCUUUGUUUUCUUAAAUGCCAAUCUAUCACAAAUAGACACUGGAAUCUUUUGUCAACUUGCAGUGCAUAUUAAGGGGUGACUCCCACACUCACCCAAUGCUGUGAUUAAACAUCCACUUUGUAACUUUAAACUGCUGGAGAGGUUUUAUGUCCGUUAACAGAUUGAUAUUGAUACUAGAUCAAUAUCACUAUUUUGCUAAAUCUAAACUCUAAAAAGGCUCGCUUGCUGGACUGGAAAAGAAUUGAGCUUAACAUCAACAAUUUAAGUGAACUUUCAGCUGAUGUGAGUAGUGUAUGUCAUGCAGUAUUGCAAAAUUGAGCCACAAUUGACUUUUUGCUCUUAGCACAAGGACAUGGUUGUGAGGAGUUUGAAGGCAUGUGCUGCUUGAAUCUUACUGAUCAUUCAGUUUUCAUCCAUAAGCAACUGCAACAGCUACAGGAUGGGUUACAUGCCCUGAAAGAAGAUAGUGACCCCAUUGGAAGUUGGUUCGCCAGCUGGGGCAUUGUGGCAGUGUGCCUCAGGGACGACAAAGAGUUAACAUUGUCCCACCCCAAACCCCUUGUGAAGGGCGGCCCAGGAGUUCUGAUUGGGUUUGAGUCCCUGGGGGGUUCUCCCUUGGUGUGUUUCUAAUGGUCCCUGACCCUGAACUCCACCCUCAAAGGUGGAAACCCUCGGGGGUUCUGUCCCUCAAAAACCCCUGCUGUGCCUCUGUUCGGGGCUCUCUGUUCUGGACCUGAGUUUGUUUUCAUGGUGAAUAAAUGUUUUCAUGAACUGGGAGCCUGUCUUAUUGGUGUUUCAUGCUGGUCCCCAGAAUCCUGCUGCUUCCCUGGACGAGAUCCUGAGGUUGCUGACUGCAACAGGGCAUCACUGGAUGGCUGAGGUCUCUUGUACUAGAAGGGGGACAGAUAUUACUUAUGGUGUUAAUUGAGACAGUAGUUUUAAGUUGUAUGUUAUCCUGUCUUUGUAGAAGUGUAGAAUGAGUCUCAUCCAAAGCCUGGCUUGUGCAAAAAGAGAAAAGGGGAAUUGCAGUGAAUAUUUUAACAGAAGGUGGGCAUGAUAUAUUAGUAAAGAUCUGUCUGCACAAACCAGCCUUUGGAAUAAGUCCUGAUAUUAAAGGCUAAAGACCUUGAAACUUUGCAGCAGAAUAGAGAAUAAAGCAAAACAAUAUCCAUGUGUACAGGAGAAAAAAUGUAAACCUGUGUGUAUUGGCCAAUGGUAACUUGCUUAGCCUGCGGACCCUGUAGAACUCUAUAAAAGGUGUGCUAAAGAUAGAAAUAAACGACGUUCACUUUUACUUCCGUGAAGACUCGUGAAUAGCUGGUGGUCUCUCAAUACUCCUCUCAUGUGCUACAGCAACUCUCAUCUUUUUACCAUGCACCACACCUUGCUGAGUGCAGCUCAUUCAGCAGCUGAGCAAGGGGAUGCAGGUGGCAGCCAGGCCUCCUGAGCCACAAACGGCUACAAAAGGACAGAGAAUGAGGGCACAGAGCAAUCCCAAAACCUAAGAAGACCCAGGAAGAAAACACAGAGGCAAUGAGUGACUCUGCUUGGAGAUGGGGCCAAGGAUCUGUACAUAAGCAAAAAAUGGGAGAAACCACCAGUUUCAGAAAACGCUACUAAUUCACAAGGAUUGUUGCUCAGACAAAGUCCCGAUACAUUCCUUAAAUUCCAAUAGAACAAAGACUUCACAGAAUAUCGGAUGCUAUACAAAAGGGUGGUGCAUAUUAACGAAGACAAGCAGCAGGCAGAUCGGGCAGGCUGAACCUUCCAAGCACCUCCGCCAGUGUUGGGCAAAGGGACAGGGACAUGCGGCCGGGAAAAUCAGGACAAAAACGAGGCCGCGUCCUCCAACAACCGGAGAGAGCGCAUGGCAAAUGCCCCAUGGCCUCUCCCUUUGGGCAGCAAUAAAGUCACUUGCACACCACUCCUCUGGCUCCUUGGGCCACACAAACCUCUGGCGCCGGGAAUUUUCCCGCCCAGCCCUGGGCACAGCGCAGCCACCUCCGGCCUCCCGACACGAAGCGGGACGAGCCAGCGCUGCUC